rnacentral:rRNA from 1 species
UACGAAGGGGGCUAGCGUUGCUCGGAUUGACUGGGCGUAAAGGGCGCGUAGGCGGUUCGUACAGUCAGACGUGAAAUUCCUGGGCUCAACCUGGGGGCUGCGUUUGAUACGUGCGGACUUGAGUGCGGAAGAGGGUCGUGGAAUUCCCAGUGUAGAGGUGAAAUUCGUAGAUAUUGGGAAGAACACCGGUGGCGAAGGCGGCUACCUGGACAGAAACUGACGCUGAGGCACGAAAGCUAGGGGAGCAAACAGG